AUGGAGGAUUAUGUGCACGAGUACUACUCAUUUAGCAGAUUCAGGGCAGCAUAUGAAGGUGUAAUUGAGCCCCUUACGGACAAGAAUCAGUGGCCACAUGUUGAUCUAGGCUUUGUGUUGCAUCCACAAUUUCCAAAAGGCAAGAAAAAAGGUGCUGGAAGAACAAGAAAACAGAGGAUGAAGAGUUGGUGGGAAGGUGGAUCAAGGAAGGGAUCAUUGACCAAAUGCAAAGAAAUGCGCGGAGGUAGGACAUAG
rnacentral:rRNA from 1 species